rnacentral:piRNA from 1 species
UCAACCUACGCAAUUAAUCAGUCUGUUUCUGU